rnacentral:rRNA from 1 species
AUACGGAGGAUGCAAGCGUUAUCCGGAUUUAUUGGGUUUAAAGGGUGCGCAGGUGGUUAAAUAAGUCAGUGGUGAAAGUCUGCCGCUUAACGGUAGGAUUGCCAUUGAUACUGUUUAACUUGAGUUUGGAUGAGGUAGGCGGAAUGUGUAGUGUAGCGGUGAAAUGCAUAGAUAUUACACAGAACACCGAUUGCGAAGGCAGCUUACUAAUCCACUACUGACACUGAGGCACGAAAGCGUGGGGAUCAAACAGGAUUAGAUACCCUGGUAGUCCACGCCGUAAACGAUGAUCACUCGCUGUUUGCGAUAUACAGUAAGCGGCCAAGCGAAAGCGAUAAGUGAUCCACCUGGGGAGUACGAUCGCAAGGUUGAA